AAGUCGUAACAAGGUUUCCGUAGGUGAACCUGCGGAAGGAUCAUUAACACGUAUCCAAACGUUAAACAACCCCGUGAACAUACAACCUGCUCUGGUCGCCCGCUCGCAUGGACAAGCCCAGUAAAUCAAGCCCCGGAAAGUUUUUGAUUUGGGACCUCUGUGCGCGUGAGAAAAACUGACAGCGAUUCAUAGAAGCGGUAGGUCAAGUGACACGGCGUCCCCAAGUGACCAGUGAAUGAAAGUGUCGCUGGAGCGUCAAGGACGACUCUUCAAGAUUGCUAGAGGUCGACCACCGACCGGCUUCCGUGUAUACCGAGCUAACACCGCUCCCUUCCGAACCCGUAAGCAUCCAUACGGAUGGGCAGGCCCCCCGAACAACUGUUAACAAUGGAUAUCUUGGUUCUC
rnacentral:misc_RNA from 1 species